rnacentral:rRNA from 1 species
AUAGGUUGGGUGUGUAAGCGCUGCGAGGCGUUGAGCUAACCAAUACUAAUUGCCCGUGAGGCUUAACCAUACAACACCGAAGGGGUUUUGU